rnacentral:ncRNA from 1 species
AAUUAGUUUAAUUGUGGCUAUAAUAAGCUUCCUUUCACAAAAUUACAUAGCUUUCUAUUCUGUAAUCCCCUAGACAAUUAAGUUAGGGGUGCUAGUAAUGGGUUUUUUAUUAGACAGGCAACUGUGCUAAGGUUGUGGGGUUUACGAAGCGGAUAAUUCACAGUGCCAGCAUCCGCGGUUAUUCUGUGGCUUCAGCUUAUUUUAUAUUUAUAGUUAAUCCUUAAUUUUUCCUUGGGGGUCAUAUCUUUAAGGAUUAUUAUAAUAUAAGGUUUUACUUACUAAAAAAUUCUUUUUAAACGUGAAUUAGAUACUCAUCUAUAUAAUACUAUAAAUUAAUUUUAGAAUAAACUAAAACAAUUUGGCAGCUGACUAAUCUUUAUUGGGGAUGGUGUGUAGUAAAAGAUAUUCCGCUUUUUAUUUUACCUGUGUUAAUUAGUUGGUGUACGUCCGGUUUGACAUCAGCAACCUAGAUUUAAUGGUUGGUGCAUACUUAUACAGUUUAAGCUAGGUCAAUGUGCUACUUAAACACAGGAUUACAUUCCAUACACUUAAAAUAAUAAAAAGAAUAUAUAAUCAUUUCGGACUAAUUAGUAAAUAUUUUAUAAAUGUUAUAUUGAAUCAAGUUUGGUUGGGGUACAUACCGCCCGUCAAUCUCGAUUUUAAUUGAGAUAAGUCGUAACAUGGUAGCCCUAGGGGAACCUGGGGCUAGUAGGCC